ensembl:lncRNA
GGUAGUUCUGGGCACCCGCCGCGCAGCUCCAGGGCUCCCCCUCCUCUGUCACUCUUCCUUUUCCCUGGGAUGCCUUCUCCCCGCUGCCUCCACACUCAGAAAACUCCUGUACAUCCUUCCAGAUGAGGUUUAGGCAUCUUCUCCAGGAAGGCUUUCCUGACCCUGCCACCUGGGGUGCUCAAGGAUGCAGGUCCUAGAAAUGACUGAAGUAGGCAUGAAGCCAGGCUGCAGCAGCCAGUGGAAAAAGGAUUUCACCAUUGCCUGUAAACCGUGAAUCAGGGGCUGCCCUUGCUCGCGGCUUCCUCGAUCUGCUAGAACAUCCCGUGGCCUUUGAAACGCUUUGACUUAACUCCUCUCGACCACGAUCCACAACAACCCUGUCGGACCAGAAAGAUGGGAGAAUCCUUCUCAUGUUACCAGAGAGAAAACUGGAGUUCUGCUGGAGUAACUGGUUCAAGGUCCCACAGCCAGUUGGUGCAGAGCGUCUGCACUGCAAGCCCCCCGGGCAGGCCAGUCGUGCCCCGCCCUGCGCCCUGCCCCUGCUUGUCCGUGUGCAGGACGUGUUGGUCUGUUCUGUUCUGUUCUCCCCCGCCUCCCCCCAGCCUCCAGCUCUAAGCAACCACUAAUGUUCUUGUUUCUGCUGAUUCUCCUGUUUGGACAACACGUGUAAAUGGAAUUAUGUAGUAUGUGGCCUGUGUGACUGGCUUCUCUCCCUUAGUGUAACAGUUUCAGGGUUAAUACAGACUGUAGC